GGGCCGCGAUUGAAAGCGGCCGGGCGAGCGGGCGGACGGAGAGCGCAGAGCUGCCGAGAGAGCGAGCUAGUGAGCGAGAGCUGGAACCCUGCGCCCCCGGCUCCUCUCCGUUUCUCUCCGCGCCGGAGUCGGGCGCGCCAGGUAGGGUAAGCCCGUGGUGCCGCGGCCGCCGCCGACCUUAUAGAGCCUGACCCCAUGUCCCAGCGUCCCGCGGGCCCUCGAGUUCUGGGGCGCUCGGGCCGGGGCGUCCAGCCAGAGCUCGCCAGGAGCUCUGGGAAGCGGGAAGACAACCCCAGGCGUCCCGCCUUUCUUCCCCAGAGAACGCACGCCCUGCAUCACGCUCCUUCGUUCCUCCUCUCCUUACAUCCUUUGGUCUGUCUUUCUGUCUGUGCCUCUAUCUUUGUGUCAGCCUGCGGGUCUCAAUCACUCCUUGCCCAGGCCCCCUGGCUGCCCGCCUCUGGGAUUCUAUCUCCCUUCAGGGUAUUGUCCCUGUCUGAAUUUGGGUCCUGGCCGCCCCUGUGGGAGGCUUGUGGUUUUGACCCGUUUGGACCUCAGCCCCCAUCUGGGUCCCUUCCUCAUCUGUGUUGGUCUUCAUGCUUGCCUCUCUCUCCUGGUUGCCUGGUUGAACUGCUGCUUUCCCGGUACCCACAGGAUCCCAGUCUCCUUGCCCUGGCACCAGUGGGAGGUUAACCCUGGGGAGCUGAGGGGCAAAGUGAAGAACCCCAGUCUCUGUGCCAGGACAUGGGGUCCUUGAACUAGUGGCUAACCUUAUUCAGCCUCAGUUUCCUUCUCCUAGCCUUCCCAAGCCUGCGUGAUUGUGAGAGCCUGUGUGGGGUGGGCAUCUGGGAGGGUAGCUGGGGCACAAAUGAUGAAGUGCAGAGUGGAAGAGGGAAGGAGGUGUCCCUGAGGGCCAGGGCCAGGGUGGACAGGAUAGGGAAAGGAUGAGGAUAAGGAGAUUAGAGAUGGUUCUGAGAUGGUUCUGAUGCUUGGUUCUGAGCUGAAGAAAACACAGGGGCAUAAAGUCUCAAACGGCAUUCUAUGCAGAGCUGAGGUGCCCAAAAGUCUCACCUUGAGCAAUUUUGAGAUUUUGACUAGAUGAACUGACCCUGUCCCUGGACACACACAUAUGCUCACAUUGACUUUUCCUGUUGACUUAAGACCUGUGGCCACUUCAGUUUCCCUCCCUGGGGCCAACCUCUCUACCUUGCUGUCAAACUCCCAGGGUCUAGAGUCUCUAUUACAUCCUCAGUCAGGGGCUCUGGGGAUGGCUUUUUAAGAACUAGAGGCUAGGACCCUUGGGUGCUCACCCUGGGUUCCAGGCUCUCUAGGAGUUGGAGACUACCCUUCGGAGAUUUUUCCUUCCCUCUUCUGUGGUGGUUUCUCAGGCACAAUGGCUCAUUUCUGGGAAUGCAAGAUUCAAGAUAGAGAUUGGACCCCUAAGUUUAUAUUCUAACCUGGCUCCUGCUGCAAAAGUGUUGACUCUGGGGUCCUGGGAGAUUUGUGCAAGUUCUUGGACACUCUUUGAUUCACAGCAGGAUUGGUGUUAGCUGAGUUCUCCUAACUUAUGUCUGGGCCUCUACUCUCUACCUCCCUCCCUCUCUGCUGAGUAUGGAAUGGGCACAGAGGUCAUCUAAAAACCCAGAUGAGGGCAAGGCUGAGAAACAGGUCAAUGGGUGUCUCAGGAGCUUCUCAGCUUAGUCAGUGAUACCACCUCUCCCUGGCUCCCUAGGAAAGUCCCUAGGUGAGGGAAUUGGGGACGGCAGAGUCAGAAGGGGUAGCCACUCUCGGGUUCCACCUCUCCCUGUUUGUCUGUCUGUCUCUUUCUCUGCAGGAGCUGGGCCCCUUCUUAUCUCUCUUCCUGCCUGUCCUUUCCUGGUCCCUGUUUUCUCCUUUCUUUGCCUUUGCUGCUUCUACCCUCAUCCCCUGGAGGCCCAGGUCUGCUGGACCCAUCCAUCCCCUUUGGGACAAUGGGAUCACUGCUUGGGCUCCUGGCACUGCUUCUGCUAUGGGGCACUGUGGCUGAGGGCCCCGCCAAGAAGGUGCUGACCCUGGAGGGGGACCUGGUCCUGGGUGGGCUGUUCCCGGUACACCAGAAGGGCGGCCUGGCAGAGGAGUGUGGGCCUGUCAAUGAGCAUCGUGGCAUCCAGCGCCUGGAGGCCAUGCUUUUUGCACUGGACCGCAUCAACCGUGACCCACGCCUGCUGCCGGGUGUGCGCCUGGGCGCGCACAUACUCGACAGCUGCUCCAAGGACACACAUGCCCUGGAGCAGGCACUCGACUUCGUGCGUGCCUCACUUAGCCGUGGUGCCGAUGGCUCACGCCACAUCUGCCCCGACGGCUCUUAUGCCACCCACGGUGAUGCUCCCACUGCCAUCACUGGUGUCAUUGGCGGCUCCUACAGCGACGUCUCCAUUCAGGUGGCCAAUCUCCUGCGGCUAUUUCAGAUUCCACAGAUCAGCUAUGCCUCCACCAGUGCCAAGCUGAGCGACAAGUCCCGCUAUGACUACUUUGCCCGCACUGUGCCCCCCGACUUCUUCCAAGCCAAGGCCAUGGCCGAGAUUCUCCGCUUCUUCAACUGGACAUAUGUGUCCACUGUGGCAUCCGAGGGUGACUAUGGUGAGACAGGCAUCGAAGCCUUUGAGCUGGAGGCCCGUGCCCGCAACAUCUGUGUGGCCACCUCGGAGAAGGUGGGCCGUGCCAUGAGCCGCGCAGCUUUCGAAGGCGUGGUGCGAGCCCUACUGCAGAAGCCCAGUGCCCGUGUGGCUGUCCUGUUCACCCGCUCCGAGGACGCACGCGAGCUCCUCGCGGCCACCCGGCGUCUCAACGCCAGCUUCACCUGGGUGGCCAGUGAUGGCUGGGGUGCCCUGGAGAGCGUGGUGGCCGGCAGCGAAGGGGCCGCUGAGGGCGCCAUCACUAUCGAGCUGGCCUCCUAUCCCAUCAGCGACUUUGCCUCCUACUUCCAGAGCCUGGACCCUUGGAACAACAGCCGGAACCCCUGGUUCCGUGAGUUUUGGGAGCAGAGGUUUGGCUGUAGCUUCCGGCGGCGAGAUUGUGCAGCCCAUUCGCUGCGCUCCGUGCCCUUUGAGCAAGAGUCCAAGAUCAUGUUUGUGGUCAACGCAGUGUAUGCCAUGGCCCAUGCACUGCACAACAUGCACCGAGCCCUCUGCCCCAACACCACACACCUCUGCGAUGCAAUGCGGCCUGUCAACGGGCGCCGCCUCUACAAGGACUUCGUGCUCAAUGUCAAGUUUGAUGCCCCCUUCCGCCCAGCUGACACACACAAUGAAGUCCGCUUCGACCGCUUUGGUGAUGGUAUUGGUCGCUACAACAUCUUCACCUACCUGCGGGCAGGCAGUGGGCGCUAUCGCUACCAGAAGGUGGGCUACUGGGCCGAAGGCCUGACCCUGGACACCAGCCUCAUCCCAUGGGCCUCGCCCUUGGCCGGCCCCCUGCCCACGUCUCGCUGCAGUGAGCCCUGUCUCCAGAAUGAGGUGAAGAGUGUGCAGCCAGGGGAGGUCUGCUGCUGGCUCUGCAUCCCCUGCCAGCCUUACGAGUACCGGCUGGACGAGUUCACUUGUGCUGACUGUGGCCUGGGCUACUGGCCCAACGCCAGCCUGACUGGCUGCUUUGAGCUGCCCCAGGAGUACAUCCGCUGGGGUGAUGCUUGGGCCGUGGGACCAGUCACCAUCGCCUGCCUAGGCGCCCUGGCCACCCUCUUCGUGCUGGGUGUCUUUGUGCGGCACAAUGCCACCCCAGUGGUUAAGGCCUCAGGCCGAGAGCUCUGCUACAUCCUGCUGGGCGGUGUCUUCCUCUGCUACUGCAUGACCUUCAUCUUCAUUGCCAAGCCAUCCACGGUUGUGUGCACCCUACGGCGCCUUGGUUUGGGCACCGCCUUCUCUGUCUGCUACUCAGCUCUGCUCACCAAGACCAAUCGCAUCGCGCGCAUCUUCGGUGGGGCCCGGGAGGGAGCCCAGCGGCCACGCUUCAUCAGUCCUGCCUCACAGGUGGCCAUCUGCCUGGCGCUUAUCUCGGGCCAGCUGCUCAUUGUGGCUGCCUGGCUGGUGGUGGAAGCACCGGGCACCGGCAAGGAGACAGCCCCGGAGCGGCGGGAGGUGGUGACAUUGCGCUGCAACCAUCGAGAUGCAAGCAUGCUGGGCUCACUGGCCUACAACGUGCUCCUCAUCGCGCUCUGCACGCUCUAUGCCUUCAAAACCCGCAAGUGCCCCGAGAACUUCAAUGAGGCCAAAUUCAUAGGCUUUACCAUGUACACCACCUGCAUCAUCUGGCUGGCCUUCCUGCCCAUCUUCUAUGUCACCUCCAGUGACUACCGGGAGCAGGAAAAUCGAGACAAGAGCCCCUGCAAAGGCCCUUUCCCCCAGGACAGAGGUGCAGACCACCACCAUGUGCGUGUCGGUCAGCCUCAGCGGCUCUGUGGUGCUCGGCUGUCUCUUUGCGCCCAAGCUGCACAUCAUCCUUUUCCAGCCACAGAAGAACGUGGUUAGCCAUCGUGCACCCACCAGCCGCUUCAGCAGCGCCGCCACCAGGGCCAGCUCCAGCCUCGGCCAAGGGUCUGGCUCCCAGUUUGUCCCCACCGUUUGCAACGGCCGUGAGGUGGUAGAUUCAACAACAUCGUCGCUUUGAAGACCCCACAUUCCUGCCCCCACACAGCUGCUCCCUGGAAUCCGGUGCACCCCCACAUCCAGGGCCAGGAGGAAGUCAGCUGGAGCAUUGCAAUAACCCCAACCCCAUGCCCGCCCCCGCAGCCACUUACCUACCUACUUAUUCCAACCCUUCAGAGUCAGAAGUCAGGGUCCUUGGCCCGGGAGCCUCUGCAGCAGCCACCAACUGUCCUCGCAGCAUGUCCCCUCCUUGCUAGGCCCAGGCAGGACUCAGAAGGGAGCAAGCCAGGAUCUACUCUGCCCUGGAACAGGAUGGCCGAGGACCACCGGCCCCAAUCCCCAAUCAGCAAAGGUGCUUCCAGCCCCACCCUUCCCUCCUUCUAGGGCCUUUUUAAUUUUUUACAUAAGUUAUUCUGGGAUGGGGAGGGGGAUUAUUGUGGGGGCCAUCCCUCCCUGUGCAUAGUAGUUUGUCCUGUGGUUUAUUUUGUAUUACCUGUAAAUAAAGUGUCUUUAUUUAAAAAAAAAAAAAUCA